GACGAACGCUGGCGGCGGGCCUAAUACAUGCAAGUAGGACGCAGUUGCGAACGGGUGAGUAACGCGUAGGUAACUACCUAUUAGAGGGGGAUAAAUAUUGGAAACGAUAGCUAAUACCGGAUACUAGUAGAUGGACCUGCGUUGUAUUAGCUAGUAGGUAGGGUAAUGGACUACCUAGGCAACGAUACAUAGCCGACCCGGUGUGGUGGUCGACCACACCCGGACUUAGACACGGCCCAGACUCCUACUGGAGGCAGCAUGAGGGAAUCUUCGGCCAUGGGGGGAACCCUGACCAAUCAACGCCGCGGGAUUGAAGAAGGUUUUCGGAUCGUAAAGCUCUGUUGUUAAGGAAGCGGUACUUACCCAGAAAUGGACGGCUAACUACGUGCCAGCCGCCGCGGUAAUAC
rnacentral:rRNA from 1 species